rnacentral:rRNA from 1 species
GAUGAACGCUGGCGGUAUGCUUAACACAUGCAAGUCGAACGGUCACUUCGGUGAUAGUGGCGGACGGGUGAGUAACGCGUGAGAAUCUGUCCUCAGGUCGGGGACAACAGUUAGAAAUGACUGCUAAUACCGGAUGUGCCUUUGGGUGAAAGAUUUAUUGCCUGAAAAAGAGCUCGCGUCAGAUUAGCUAGUAGGUGGUGUAAGAGACUACCUAGGCUCCGAUCUGUAGCUGGUCUGAGGGGACGAUCAGCCACACUGGAACUGAGACACGGUCCAGACUCCUACGGGAAGCAGCAGUGGGGAAUUUUCCGCAAUGGGCGAAAGCCUGACGGAGCAAUACCGCGUGAGGGACGAAGGCUUUUGGGUCGUAAACCUCUUUUCUCAAGGAAGAUGAUGACGGUACUUGAGGAAUAAGCAUCGGCUAACUCUGUG